GUGUUGGUGGAAGAAGAGAACUUAAGGCCAGAAGUUGUGUGUGUGUGUGUGUGUGUGUGUGUAUAAUUAUGCCUGAAUAUGUUUUAUUUAUUAUAGUCUAUGUGUGAUUUUGUAUUUGAAAGUAGAUGCUUGAUUCUACCACAAUUAAAAAAAGGAUAUGCUUGGAUUUGUCUGUAGUAUGUGGGUGUGGAGGAGUUCAUUUGAACACGGGCAUUUUUGUGUGUCCAGGACGUAUCAACAGCCUCCUUAGAGGUGUCAUAUGUGCAGGGAAUACUGAAGAGAGUGCAUUAGUCUACAUGUCUCUCUAUAUAUUUUUUCUUUUUGUGUGUGUCUGGUUUUCCUAGAUUUCUCUCUUGCAUGUUUGUGGGUAUGAGAGUCUGUUAGUAUUAAUAUGUGAAUGGGUGUGUGCUAUUUGUCUGGGGAGGAUGAUUUAGGCAAGGAUUUGAAAGUGUGCAUUUAGAAAUUGAGGGCAUCUCUGUGUUAUUAUGAGUGUAUGUGUGUUUGUGUGUGCAUUUUAGAGUGGUUGGUUAUCUGUGUGUAUUUGCAAGGAGAAGGGGAAUUCAGUGUGUUUCUGUGUUUGUGUGUUUGUUUGUGAAUGGUAUGUUUUGCAGAGGAGUGUACUUUUUAUGUUCGAAAGUUAGGCAAUCAUGUAAUUUAUCAUCCAAAUGGGGAUACAUUUGAGAAUGAAAUAUAUAUGUGUGUGAAAGGAUGUCUUUGAAUGUACUUUUAAAAAUGCAUUUAAUUUUGUGUGUGUUAUUGGUGUCAGGAAUUAAGAAAAAGAAGAGAAGUACAGGAGAUAUCAUUAAAUUAUAUAGUUCUCUCUUCGACUGUAGCCUUAUAACAGGGACAUUAAUAGAAUUAACAGGUGGAAUCUAAUUGUCUCCCUUGGAAUCUGGGAUGGCUGUCCUACUUAUUUGACCAACAGAAUUUGUCAGAAGGGACUUUCUGUAACUUCUGAAGCUGUCUCAUAAGAAGCCUUGCAGAUUCUGCUCAUGUCUCUUUCCUCUCUGGGAAACAAGUCGCGACUCAGGGAUAAGCCUGAGACACAUGGAGAGAACAUCCUGAUCAAUCUGGUCUUUGCUGCUACCCUGGUCAACAGCCUGAGCUGGAUACCUGGCUGACAAGUACCACCUUUUUCCUACACAGAUGACAACCCAGCCCAUGAGCACCAGACAGGAUGUCACUCUGUCACCUAGACUGGAAUUCAGUGGUGCAAUCAUAGCUCACAGCAGCCUCAACCUCCUGGGCUCAAGCAAUCCUCCAGCCUCCAUCUCCUGAGUAGCUGGAACUACAGGUUUUCCAAUCUGGCGGCUGGGAGCAGGUGUUAUGCUUGCUUCUGUGGCUGCAGGUAGUUUCCUUAGAAUGUCCUGUGUGCUUUUGGUAUGAUCAUUAUGCUGGACUCACAUGAGAGAUGGAAAAGGUAUAUGCCAGCACCAGGAAGACAAGAGCUAUAAACAACUCAUUUUAGAUUCAGCCAGAGUGUUUUCUCUGUCAGGAUAAAACGCAGCAUGACUACCCUGCACAGUCCUAUGGAUCCUGAAUGUAUCAAUUAGGAAUACAGCAGAUACACUGUAUAAAGACAAGGAAGGCAUCACUGAUAACCUUGCUGGAUAACCCUGUAAUCUAUACUCUACUGAUCCCAAUGUCUGAUUUAUUGAAAUGAAGGAUGCAAGUGGUUCUUGGACAGGCCUAUUCCUUGGACAUGAUUGGUGAUCACAGAAGAAAAGACUAUCUCUUAUGUUUAAUUUCAUUUGGGUACCUCCAGAGUAGAACAAGAGUUCUUCCACCUCCACACUUCUUUCCUUUCGUUCCUCCAAA
ensembl:lncRNA novel transcript